rnacentral:rRNA from 1 species
AUGGCUCAGGAUGAACGCUAGCGGCAGGCCUAAUACAUGCAAGUCGAACGGUUGUAGUGAUACAAUAGUGGCGCACGGGUGCGUAACACGUAUGCAACCUACCUUAUAGACGGGGAUAGCCUUUGGAAACGGAGAUUAAUACCCGAUAGUAACCUUGAUUGGCAUCAAUUAAUGUUUAAAGAUUUAUCGCUAUAAGCUGGCAUGCGUCCAAUUAGUUAGUUGGUUAGGUAAUGGCUGACCAAGACGAUGAUUGGUAGGGGAACUGAGAGGUUAAUCCCCCACACUGGCACUGAGAUACGGGCCAGACUCCUACGGGAGGCAGCAGUAGGGAAUAUUGGGCAAUGGAGGCAACUCUGACCCAGCCAUGCCGCGUGCAGGAUGAAGGCGUUAUGCGUUGUAAACUGCUUUUAUAUAGGAAGAAAUAGACCUUGCGAGGUAAGUUGACGGUACUAUAUGAAUAAGCACCGGCUAACUCCGUGCCAGCAGCCGCGGUAAUACGGAGGGUGCAAGCGUUGUCCGGAUUUAUUGGGUUUAAAGGGUGCGUAGGCGGUUUAUUAAGUCAGUGGUGAAAGACGGUCGCUCAACGAUUGCAGUGCCAUUGAUACUGGUAGACUUGAGUGAGAUUGAGGUAGCUGGAAUGGAUAGUGUAGCGGUGAAAUGCAUAGAUAUUAUCCAGAACACCAAUUGCGUAGGCAAGUUACUAAGUCUCAACUGACGCUGAGGCACGAAAGUGUGGGUAUCAAACAGGAUUAGAUACCCUGGUAGUCCACACUGUAAACGAUGAUAACUAACUGUUGGCUUACGGGUCAGUGGUACAGAGAGAUCGUUAGUUAUCCACCUGGGGAGUACGCCGCGACCGNGAACUCAAGGAUUGACGGGGUCCGCACAAGCGGUGGAGCAUGUGGUUU